GUAAAAGUGUAAAAGGAAGUCAGUUGGGGACUGGAGCAUCAAAAGAAGUCAUGCUGGGCCUAGUGGUGUACGCCUGAUAGCAGGGACUCAGAAGGCUGAGGCAGGAAGAUCACAAGUUUGAGGCCAGCCUCCGCAAUUUAGCAGCCUUAGCAAUUUUAGGAAUAAGGAUAUAGCUCAGUGGUACAGCACCCAUGAGUCCAAUCCCCAGAACCAAAACAAAAUAAAAGAAAGCCUUCAUAUCUCUUCCUUUUGGGGGGUGGGGGGGUUGUGGUGCUGGAGAUUAAACUCAGAACCUCUCAACCCCUUCCUUUUUAGGUCAUUAGUAUCAGGAUGUGAUGUCUGGAACUGUAGCACUUUUUUUUUUUUUUAACUGAGCUAUAUACCCAGUUCUUUUCAUUUUAUUUUGAGACAGAUCUCACUAAGUUGCCCAUGUUGGGUUUGAAUUUGUGAUCUUCCUGUCUUAGCCUCCCAAGUAGCUAGGUAUGUGCUUCCAUGCCUGGCUAGCAACCUAUUUUAAGACCAAAAAGUGACCAACACACAAGGAAAGCUAACAUGAUUACAGGAAUACAAAUUUACAAAUUAGGAUCAUAGUGUAACCUACUUUAUUCACUUAGCACAGAAGCAUUUUUAUACUUCAUAAAGUAUUCUUUGAAAUCAUAAUGUAUACAGCUGAGGAUGUAUCUCAGUAGUACAGUAUUUGCCUAGCAUGCGUAAGGACCUGGGUUCAACUCAAUUCUUAGUAUCAUGAAAAAAAUAUAUAAUAGUUGUAUAUAAUGCCACAGAAUGAAUAGUUUCGCUGAUCUAUUGUGAGGCAUAAAGAUAGUUCCCAAUAUUUUGCUAAUCACUGGCAAUAGACACAAACAAUAUUUAUAUAUGUCUCAAAUGCUUUAAUUAGGAUAAGUGGGAUUACUGGGUCAACUUCUGUACUUUAAAAAAAAUUUUUUUUAGUUGUAGUUAGAUGCAAUACCUUUAUUUUAUUUAUUUAUUUUUAUGUGGUGUUGAGGAUUGAACUCAGUGCCUCACACGUGCUAGAGGAGUGCUCUACCACUGAGCCACAACCCCAGCUCUCAACCACUGUACUUUAAUGACAUUUACUGCAUUCUUCUAAACUGCAAUUUAAGAAGAUUAUAAUGCAUGUAUCUCAUAUGUGCCUUUGUCAUGUGAAAAUUGCUUUCCUAUAUUCUCUCCAAUCCUGAAUAUUAUGAAAAUCAUGCCAAUGGAUGUGUAAAUUUUUACUUUUAUAGAUUUUCCUAAAUCUUCCUUCACAGUGAGACUAACAACUGUCCUUUCUUGUUGAUGUCAGUCAAGCCCUUUCUCC
rnacentral:lncRNA from 1 species